UGUCAUGCUUUUCCACAGCUUUCUUGAACUUCUGCUGAUCUCUAGAUCAAGUGAAGAGGUUCAAGAAAGCUGUGGGAAGACAUGGCGA
rnacentral:pre_miRNA from 1 species